GAUUAAGUUAUUAAGGGCGCACGGUGGAUGCCUUGGCACUAGAAGCCGAUGAAGGACGUUACUAACGACGAUAUGCUUUGGGGAGCUGUAAGUAAGCUUUGAUCCAGAGAUUUCCGAAUGGGGAAACCCAGCAUGAGUUAUGUCAUGUUAUCGAUAUGUGAAUACAUAGCAUAUCAGAAGGCACACCCGGAGAACUGAAACAUCUUAGUACCCGGAGGAAGAGAAAGAAAAUUCGAUUCCCUUAGUAGCGGCGAGCGAAACGGGAAGAGCCCAAACCAACAAGCUUGCUUGUUGGGGUUGUAGGACACUCUAUACGGAGUUACAAAGGACGACAUUAGACGAAUCAUCUGGAAAGAUGAAUCAAAGAAGGUAAUAAUCCUGUAGUCGAAAAUGUUGUCUCUCUUGAGUGGAUCCUGAGUACGACGGAGCACGUGGAAUUCCGUCGGAAUCUGGGAGGACCAUCUCCUAAGGCUAAAUACUCUCUAGUGACCGAUAGUGAACCAGUACCGUGAGGGAAAGGUGAAAAGCACCCCGGAAGGGGAGUGAAAUAGAACCUGAAACCGUGUGCUUACAAGUAGUCAGAGCCCGUUAAUGGGUGAUGGCGUGCCUUUUGUAGAAUGAACCGGCGAGUUACGAUUUGAUGCAAGGUUAAGCAGUAAAUGUGGAGCCGUAGCGAAAGCGAGUCUGAAUAGGGCGUUUAGUAUUUGGUCGUAGACCCGAAACCAGGUGAUCUACCCUUGGUCAGGUUGAAGUUCAGGUAACACUGAAUGGAGGACCGAACCGACUUACGUUGAAAAGUGAGCGGAUGAACUGAGGGUAGCGGAGAAAUUCCAAUCGAACCUGGAGAUAGCUGGUUCUCUCCGAAAUAGCUUUAGGGCUAGCCUCAAGUGAUGAUUAUUGGAGGUAGAGCACUGUUUGGACGAGGGGCCCCUCUCGGGUUACCGAAUUCAGACAAACUCCGAAUGCCAAUUAAUUUAACUUGGGAGUCAGAACAUGGGUGAUAAGGUCCGUGUUCGAAAGGGAAACAGCCCAGACCACCAGCUAAGGUCCCAAAAUAUAUGUUAAGUGGAAAAGGAUGUGGCGUUGCCCAGACAACUAGGAUGUUGGCUUAGAAGCAGCCAUCAUUUAAAGAGUGCGUAAUAGCUCACUAGUCGAGUGACACUGCGCCGAAAAUGUACCGGGGCUAAACAUAUUACCGAAGCUGUGGAUUGUCCUUUGGACAAUGGUAGGAGAGCGUUCUAAGGGCGUUGAAGCAUGAUCGUAAGGACAUGUGGAGCGCUUAGAAGUGAGAAUGCCGGUGUGAGUAGCGAAAGACGGGUGAGAAUCCCGUCCACCGAUUGACUAAGGUUUCCAGAGGAAGGCUCGUCCGCUCUGGGUUAGUCGGGUCCUAAGCUGAGGCCGACAGGCGUAGGCGAUGGAUAACAGGUUGAUAUUCCUGUACCACCUAUAAUCGUUUUAAUCGAUGGGGGGACGCAGUAGGAUAGGCGAAGCGUGCGAUUGGAUUGCACGUCUAAGCAGUAAGGCUGAGUAUUAGGCAAAUCCGGUACUCGUUAAGGCUGAGCUGUGAUGGGGAGAAGACAUUGUGUCUUCGAGUCGUUGAUUUCACACUGCCGAGAAAAGCCUCUAGAUAGAAAAUAGGUGCCCGUACCGCAAACCGACACAGGUAGUCAAGAUGAGAAUUCUAAGGUGAGCGAGCGAACUCUCGUUAAGGAACUCGGCAAAAUGACCCCGUAACUUCGGGAGAAGGGGUGCUCUUUAGGGUUAACGCCCAGAAGAGCCGCAGUGAAUAGGCCCAAGCGACUGUUUAUCAAAAACACAGGUCUCUGCUAAACCGUAAGGUGAUGUAUAGGGGCUGACGCCUGCCCGGUGCUGGAAGGUUAAGAGGAGUGGUUAGCUUCUGCGAAGCUACGAAUCGAAGCCCCAGUAAACGGCGGCCGUAACUAUAACGGUCCUAAGGUAGCGAAAUUCCUUGUCGGGUAAGUUCCGACCCGCACGAAAGGCGUAACGAUUUGGGCACUGUCUCAACGAGAGACUCGGUGAAAUCAUAGUACCUGUGAAGAUGCAGGUUACCCGCGACAGGACGGAAAGACCCCGUGGAGCUUUACUGUAGCCUGAUAUUGAAAUUCGGCACAGCUUGUACAGGAUAGGUAGGAGCCUUUGAAACGUGAGCGCUAGCUUACGUGGAGGCGCUGGUGGGAUACUACCCUAGCUGUGUUGGCUUUCUAACCCGCACCACUUAUCGUGGUGGGAGACAGUGUCAGGCGGGCAGUUUGACUGGGGCGGUCGCCUCCUAAAAGGUAACGGAGGCGCUCAAAGGUUCCCUCAGAAUGGUUGGAAAUCAUUCAUAGAGUGUAAAGGCAUAAGGGAGCUUGACUGCGAGACCUACAAGUCGAGCAGGGUCGAAAGACGGACUUAGUGAUCCGGUGGUUCCGCAUGGAAGGGCCAUCGCUCAACGGAUAAAAGCUACCCCGGGGAUAACAGGCUUAUCUCCCCCAAGAGUUCACAUCGACGGGGAGGUUUGGCACCUCGAUGUCGGCUCAUCGCAUCCUGGGGCUGUAGUCGGUCCCAAGGGUUGGGCUGUUCGCCCAUUAAAGCGGUACGCGAGCUGGGUUCAGAACGUCGUGAGACAGUUCGGUCCCUAUCCGUCGUGGGCGUAGGAAAUUUGAGAGGAGCUGUCCUUAGUACGAGAGGACCGGGAUGGACAUACCUCUGGUGUACCAGUUGUCGUGCCAACGGCAUAGCUGGGUAGCUAUGUGUGGACGGGAUAAGUGCUGAAAGCAUCUAAGCAUGAAGCCCCCCUCAAGAUGAGAUUUCCCAACUUCGGUUAUAAGAUC
rnacentral:rRNA from 1 species